CCGCGAGGUGGAGCCAAUCCUCAAAGUUGGUCUCAGUUCAGAUUGCAGGCUGCAACCCGCCUGCAUGAAGAUGGAGUUGCUAGUAACCGCAGGUCAGCUAUACUGCGGUGAAUACGUUCCCGGGGCUU
rnacentral:rRNA from 1 species